rnacentral:rRNA from 1 species
UCCUGGCUCAGAACGAACGCUGGCGGCAGGCCUAAUACAUGCAAGUCGAGCGCGCCCUUCGGGGUGAGCGGCGGACGGGUGAGUAACGCGUGGGAAUAUGCCCUUCUCUAAGGAAUAGCCUCUGGAAACGGAGAGUAAUACCUUAUACGCCCUUUGGGGGAAAGAUUUAUCGGAGAAGGAUUAGCCCGCGUUAGAUUAGGUAGUUGGUGGGGUAAUGGCCUACCAAGCCUACGAUCUAUAGCUGGUUUGAGAGGAUGAUCAGCCACACUGGGACUGAGACACGGCCCAGACUCCUACGGGAGGCAGCAGUAGGGAAUCUUAGACAAUGGGGGCAACCCUGAUCUAGCCAUGCCGCGUGUGUGAUGAAGGCCCUAGGGUCGUAAAGCACUUUCGCCAGAGAUGAUAAUGACAGUAUCUGGUAAAGAAACCCCGGCUAACUCCGUGCCAGCAGCCGCGGUAAUACGGAGGGGGUUAGCGUUGUUCGGAAUUACUGGGCGUAAAGCGCACGUAGGCGGAUUAGUAAGUUAGAGGUGAAAUCCCAGGGCUCAACCCUGGAACUGCCUUUAAUACUGCUAGUCUUGAGUUCGAGAGAGGUAAGUGGAAUUCCGAGUGUAGAGGUGAAAUUCGUAGAUAUUCGGAGGAACACCAGUGGCGAAGGCGGCUUACUGGCUCGAUACUGACGCUGAGGUGCGAAAGUGUGGGGAGCAAACAGGAUUAGA